GCGGCGGGGCGGUCGGGGCGGUCGGGCGGAGAGCGGCGCGGCGCCAUGAGUCAGAGGCAGGUGCUGCAAGUGUUCGAGCAGUACCAGAAGCCCGGACCCAGUUCGUGCAGAUGGUGGCGGAGCUGGCGAC